rnacentral:rRNA from 1 species
GGUGGAAUAUGUGGUUUAAUGCGAUAAUCCACGCAAAAUCUUACCAACGUUUUAGGCUUUAUUAGUAAUAUGGUUAACACUAUAAUUAAUAGGUAAAGUACGGAAUUGCAUGGCUGUCGUCAGUUCGUGCUGUGAAGUUUAGGAUUAAGUUCUUUUCAACGAAUGUAACCCUAUAAGUAAGUUUUUAUAAUGUACAAAAUAAAUGUAUAAUAUAUACUUAUUUAAUCUAUAACUGAAUAUAUUGAAAUCUUUUUUGUAUAUUUAGUUAUAGGGGUUUUAGGCUGAAGUCAAGUCCCUAUGGUCUUUAUACGUUGGGCUACACACGUGUUACAAGGGUAAAAACAAAGAGACGCAAUAGAGUAAUCUGGAGCAAAUCUCUAAAAAUUAUCUUAGUUCAGAUUGUUUCAUGAAAUUCUGAAACAUGAAGAUGAAAUCGUUAGUAAUUGUAAAUUAUUAUGUUACAGUGAAAUAUUAGUCAAAUUUUGCACACACCGCCCAUCACGCUCGGAAAGUCAAUAUUAGCGGAAGAUUUGAAAAUCUCUACGCAAAGCUAAAUUUAGUUUAAUUUAGUUGUCUAUAUGUUUUUUUUAAACGGUGUGGAUGGAAAGUAGUAUCCAAUCUAAUAUUGGUAAUUUGAGUGAAGUUGACACAAGGUAC